rnacentral:rRNA from 1 species
UUAAAAAGCUCGUAGUUGGAUCAAGAGUUGGACAGUGCAAGGUGGCCCUGUUUGUCCUGUCUGGUUCCGAUCAAGCAGGCGGCAGCGGAGUAACCCCUUGCGCCAAACUGUCCGCUCUAACAGAUCGAAACGGUUCCCUGUGAGUAGGUCCCUUAAUUGGGAUCGAAAGCACCUACGCAUCAACCAUAUGCAUACGGGACGUCGGUCAAAGUUACUGGGAACAAACCAGCGUGUCCAAAGCAGGCUUUCGCCUGAAUGUUCGAGCAUGGAAUAACAAGGGAUCGAUUAUCUCGGUUCUUUUUGUCGGUUUUUAACCCGAGAAGGAGUAAUUCAGGCCACGGUGUCUGAGUUGGGUCCCCCUA